rnacentral:rRNA from 1 species
UACGUAGGGUGCGAGCGUUGUCCGGAAUUAUUGGGCGUAAAGAGCGCGCAGGCGGUCGAGUAAGUCGAAUGUGAAAGCCCCCGGCUUAACUGGGGAGGGUCAUUCGAUACUGUUCGACUUGAAGGCAGGAGAGGGCAGCAGAAUUCCCGGUGUAGUGGUGAAAUGCGUAGAUAUCGGGAGGAAUACCAGUGGCGAAGGCGGCUGCCUGGCCUGUUCUUGACGCUGAGGCGCGAAAGCUGGGGAGCAAACGGGG